AGGCAAUGUGGGAAGAAAUACUGGAAUAUGUGAACUCAAGUCACCACAAAAUACGAGAAUACAAUCCAUUGUAGGGUGCUACGAAUAGCCAACAAUAAGAUGAAAACAUACAUUACCUGCAAAAGUAGUUGAACGAGACAGGAUUAGAGUAAAUUGGAAGGGCAUGCCUUGGCUAGUAAGAUAACUCACAAAAAUUCAACACUGUACUUAACACCCUUCAGAGGAUUUAAGGAAUUCAACAUUGUGGGACAAAAUUCCUUCCUCAAUGCAA